rnacentral:misc_RNA from 1 species
UUUCCAUAGGUGAACCUGCGGAAGGAUCAUUCAUAAUAAAGUGUUUUAUGGCACUUUUAAAAAUCCAUAUCCACCUUGUGUGCAAUGUUUGAUCUCGUCAAUCUUGGCGAGAUUUUUAUACAUCAACUCAUUCUUUAACUAAUUUGUCUGAAAAAUAUUAUGAAUACUUAAUUCAAAAUACAACUUUCAACAACGGAUCUCUUGGCUCUC